GCUGCACUUCAAGAGAACUACAAUCUUUUAUUUUUUCUUUCUAAGUUUUGUUUUGCUUUGAACUUGUCAGCAUUUUGCCUUGAGCAAUCUCCACCUCUAAGUCUCCAAAUGCCUGGAAAUGAGAAUUUGUCAAGGAAGUAGAGUUAUUGCAGAAUCAUGAGAAUUGGAUAUGGAAAGAAUUCACGAAGCAGUCUAUUCCAACUGCAGGCCACUUAAGAAGAAUUUUUAGUCUGCUCUCCAAUGAUGGGAAAAAUCCUGUUAUUCCUCUAAAUACAAGGGGGAAAAUGAGAGUGGAAAUCACGGAAGACAGCUAUGCUUCCUGAUAACCUGAUAUUGAAGAAGCGG
rnacentral:lncRNA from 1 species